rnacentral:tRNA from 20 species
GUCCCCAUCGUCUAGAGGCCUAGGACAUCGCCCUUUCACGGCGGUAACACGAGUUCGAAUCUCGUUGGGGACGCCA